CAGCGGGUCACGUCCCCCCACCGGGACGCUUUUCUUCUGCAAGGGAGACCGAU
rfam:Acidiphilium rubrum strain ATCC 35905 genome assembly, contig: Ga0104712_102